AGAAUCAACGCUGGCGGCGUGCCUAACACAUGCAAGUCGAACGAGAAAGGGUAGCAAUACCUGAGUAAAGUGGCGCACGGGUGAGUAACACGUGACUAACCUACCUUUUAGUGGGGGAUAACCUAGGGAAACCUGGGCUAAUACCGCAUAAUACCUACGGGUCAAAGCAGCAAUGCGCCGAAUGAGGGGGUCGCGGUCGAUUAGUUAGUUGGCAGGGUAAUGGCCUACCAAGACUGUGAUCGAUA
rnacentral:rRNA from 1 species